rnacentral:rRNA from 1 species
UCAAGUGAAGAAGCGCAUACGGUGGAUGCCUUGGCAGUCAGAGGCGAUGAAAGACGUGGUAGCCUGCGAAAAGCUUCGGGGAGUCGGCAAACAGACUUUGAUCCGGAGAUCUCUGAAUGGGGGAACCCACCUAGGAUAACCUAGGUAUCUUGUACUGAAUCCAUAGGUGCAAGAGGCGAACCAGGGGAACUGAAACAUCUAAGUACCCUGAGGAAAAGAAAUCAACCGAGAUUCCCUUAGUAGUGGCGAGCGAACGGGGAUUAGCCCUUAAGCUUCAUUGAUUUUAGCGGAACGCUCUGGAAAGUGCGGCCAUAGUGGGUGAUAGCCCCGUACGCGAAAGGAUCUUUGAAGUGAAAUCGAGUAGGACGGAGCACGAGAAACUUUGUCUGAACAUGGGGGGACCAUCCUCCAAGGCUAAAUACUACUGACUGACCGAUAGUGAACCAGUACCGUGAGGGAAAGGCGAAAAGAACCCCGGAGAGGGGAGUGAAAUAGAACCUGAAACCGUAUGCGUACAAGCAGUGGGAGCCUACUUGUUAGGUGACUGCGUACCUUUUGUAUAAUGGGUCAGCGACUUAUAUUCAGUGGCAAGCUUAACCGUAUAGGGUAGGCGUAGCGAAAGCGAGUCUUAAUAGGGCGUUUAGUCGCUGGGUAUAGACCCGAAACCGAGUGAUCUAUCCUUGGCCAGGUUGAAGGUGCGGUAACACGCACUGGAGGACCGAACCCACAUCUGUUGCAAUAGAUGGGGAUGAGCUGAGGAUAGGAGUGAAAGGCUAAACAAACUCGGAGAUAGCUGGUUCUCCUCGAAAGCUAUUUAGGUAGCGCCUCGGACGAAUCUUCCUGGGGGUAGAGCACUGUUAUGGCUAGGGGGUCAUCGCGACUUACCAAACCAUGGCAAACUCCGAAUACCAGGACAGACUAUCCGGGAGACACACGGCGGGUGCUAACGUCCGUCGUGAAAAGGGAAACAACCCAGACCGCCAGCUAAGGUCCCAAAGUUGUGGUUAAGUGGUAAACGAUGUGGGAAGGCUUAGACAGCUAGGAGGUUGGCUUAGAAGCAGCCACCCUUUAAAGAAAGCGUAAUAGCUCACUAGUCGAGUCGGCCUGCGCGGAAGAUGUAACGGGGCUCAAACCACACACCGAAGCUGCGGGUGUCACGUAAGUGACGCGGUAGAGGAGCGUUCUGUAAGCCUGUGAAGGUGAGUUGAGAAGCUUGCUGGAGGUAUCAGAAGUGCGAAUGCUGACAUGAGUAACGACAAUGGGUGUGAAAAACACCCACGCCGAAAGACCAAGGGUUCCUGCGCAACGUUAAUCGACGCAGGGUUAGUCGGUUCCUAAGGCGAGGCUGAAAAGCGUAGUCGAUGGGAAACAGGUUAAUAUUCCUGUACUUCUGGUUACUGCGAUGGAGGGACGGAGAAGGCUAGGCCAGCUUGGCGUUGGUUGUCCAAGUUUAAGGUGGUAGGCUGAAAUCUUAGGUAAAUCCGGGGUUUCAAGGCCGAGAGCUGAUGACGAGUCGUCUUUUAGAUGACGAAGUGGUUGAUGCCAUGCUUCCAAGAAAAGCUUCUAAGCUUCAGGUAACCAGGAACCGUACCCCAAACCGACACAGGUGGUCGGGUAGAGAAUACCAAGGCGCUUGAGAGAACUCGGGUGAAGGAACUAGGCAAAAUGGCACCGUAACUUCGGGAGAAGGUGCGCCGGCUAGGGUGAAGGAUUUACUCCGUAAGCUCUGGCUGGUCGAAGAUACCAGGCCGCUGCGACUGUUUAUUAAAAACACAGCACUCUGCAAACACGAAAGUGGACGUAUAGGGUGUGACGCCUGCCCGGUGCCGGAAGGUUAAUUGAUGGGGUUAGCGCAAGCGAAGCUCUUGAUCGAAGCCCCGGUAAACGGCGGCCGUAACUAUAACGGUCCUAAGGUAGCGAAAUUCCUUGUCGGGUAAGUUCCGACCUGCACGAAUGGCGUAACGAUGGCGGCGCUGUCUCCACCCGAGACUCAGUGAAAUUGAAAUCGCUGUGAAGAUGCAGUGUAUCCGCGGCUAGACGGAAAGACCCCGUGAACCUUUACUGUAGCUUUGCACUGGACUUUGAGCCUGCUUGUGUAGGAUAGGUGGGAGGCUUUGAAGCGUGGACGCCAGUUCGCGUGGAGCCAUCCUUGAAAUACCACCCUGGCAUGCUUGAGGUUCUAACUCUGGUCCGUGAUCCGGAUCGAGGACAGUGUAUGGUGGGCAGUUUGACUGGGGCGGUCUCCUCCUAAAGAGUAACGGAGGAGUACGAAGGUGCGCUCAGACCGGUCGGAAAUCGGUCGUAGAGUAUAAAGGCAAAAGCGCGCUUGACUGCGAGACAGACACGUCGAGCAGGUACGAAAGUAGGUCUUAGUGAUCCGGUGGUUCUGUAUGGAAGGGCCAUCGCUCAACGGAUAAAAGGUACUCCGGGGAUAACAGGCUGAUACCGCCCAAGAGUUCAUAUCGACGGCGGUGUUUGGCACCUCGAUGUCGGCUCAUCACAUCCUGGGGCUGAAGCCGGUCCCAAGGGUAUGGCUGUUCGCCAUUUAAAGUGGUACGCGAGCUGGGUUUAGAACGUCGUGAGACAGUUCGGUCCCUAUCUGCCGUGGACGUUUGAGAUUUGAGAGGGGCUGCUCCUAGUACGAGAGGACCGGAGUGGACGAACCUCUGGUGUUCCGGUUGUCACGCCAGUGGCAUUGCCGGGUAGCUAUGUUCGGAAAAGAUAACCGCUGAAAGCAUCUAAGCGGGAAACUUGCCUCAAGAUGAGAUCUCACUGGGAACUUGAUUCCCCUGAAGGGCCGUCGAAGACUACGACGUUGAUAGGCUGGGUGUGUAAGCGUUGUGAGGCGUUGAGCUAACCAGUACUAAUUGCCCGUGAGGCUUGACCAU